GACGAACGCUGGCGGCGCGCUUAACACAUGCAAGUCGAACGGAAAGGCCUGCUUUCCCUUGUGGAUUGCGGGUACUCGAGUGGCGAACGGGUGAGUAACACGUGAGUGAUCUGCCCCCAACUUGGGUAUAAGCCUGGGAAACUGGGUCUAAUUCCCGAUAGGACUGCAGGGUGGUGCCUGUGGUGGAAAACGAUUUUCUAGUGGUUGGGGAUGAGCUCGCGGCCUAUCAGCUUGUUGGUGGGGUAAUGGCCUACCAAGGCGGCGACGGGUAGCCGGCCUGGGAGGGUGGACGGCCACAUUGGGACUGAGAUACGGCCCAGACUCCUACGGGAGGCAGCAGUGGGGAAUAUUGCACAAUGGGCGGAAGCCUGAUGCAGCGACGCCGCGUGGGGGAUGACGGCCUUCGGGUUGUAAACUCCUUUCGACCGCGAGGAAGCCACCUGGUUGGAAGGGUGGUGACGGCAGUGGUAGAAGAAGCACCGGCUAACUACGUG
rnacentral:rRNA from 1 species